UGGGGAAUCUUGCACAAUGGGGGAAACCCUGAUGCAGCGACGCCGCGUGAGUGAUGAAGCCCUUCGGGGUGUAAAGCUCUUUCGGCAGGGACGAUAAUGACGGUACCUGCGGAAGAAGCUGCGGCUAACUACGUGCCAGCAGCCGCGGUAAUACGUAGGCAGCAAGCGUUGUUCGGAAUUACUGGGCGUAAAGAGUGUGUAGGCGGUGUCGUAAGUUUGGUGUGAAAUCUCCCGGCUUAACUGGGAGGGUGCGCCGAAGACUGCGAUGCUUGAGGUUGGGAGAGGUAAGCGGAAUUCCUGGUGUAGCGGUGAAAUGCGUAGAUAUCAGGAGGAACACCUGCGGUGUAGACGGCUUACUGGACCACACCUGACGCUGAGACACGAAAGCGUGGGUAGCAAACAGG
rnacentral:rRNA from 1 species